rnacentral:lncRNA from 1 species
UUUCUAAACUCCUCAUUCUUCCACUUCUCUACACCUCUCUAAACUUAAAAUCUCUCUACCUCCCUCUUCUUCCUCCACCGCCGCCGCCACUGUCACCGUGGCCCAUCGAAAUAGUUUCCCGACGGCAGCCUACCUUUAAAUUCCCUUAAAUUCACACAAUCUUUUCCUCUUUUCCUCCUCUACCUCAUCUUAUCAACCAAACUCCUCAAAGACUAACCAAAAUUCGUAGAUCUAAAAAAAAGCAAAACCCUAGAUCUACCUUUUUUUGUGUGCAUUUUCCUCGCCAUUAAAAAAUCCUCCGGUCAAGAUCUCCCAUCAAGGAUCUUAGAUCCAAGACGAGAUUUUUGAGGAUCUUUUCACGGUUAGAUCCAUGUAAUUUUGUAUUUAGUUUCCACCUUCCUUAAUUUAUUUAUGCAUUUAUAUUUUUUGCAUUUUUAUUCUCGUUAUGUAUGUUAUUUUCUAUUUUUUUAUUUCUAUUUAUUUAAUGUUUUUUAUUUAUUAUUAUUUAUAUUCUGCGCAAUUAUUUUAAAUAUUUAUUUUGUCCGAUUUUUAUUUAUUUAUUUUUUCUGUUUAACGCAUUUGUUUUACCUCUAUUAUAAUUAAUUAAUUGCUUAAGUCAUAGUUAACUAAAGUAUGAAAAAAAUAUGUGUAUAUAGAUUUUAAUUAGAUAAAAAUGAUUAAAAUAUUAUUAAAAAUGUAGUAUUUAGAUUCCGUUUUUAUUUUUUAUUUUACAUCUCAUCAUUUUAAUUACUGUUAUUCUAUUAAAUAUAUUAUGUAGUUAUUAGUGGGUUGUAUUACUAAUAUAAUACGUUGUGGUAGGGUAGAAAUUGCAAUACUUAAUUUAAAUAAUAGCACUAGCUUAGUGGAAGAUUUAAAAAUGGAAAGAUAAUUUGAUAAUGGAGGAUGCAUUAACCGGAAUUGCCUAUUAAAUGCUGAAAAGUAAAAAGAGGGGGAACAAUAGUGAAUAGUUAAAAAUCUUCACAUAGUAGAAGAAUAUUUAAAAGCUGGAAAGUAAAAGGAGGAGGGGUAAUAGUAAAAGUUUUUCCCUUUAUAACUGUAAAAGAAAAAAGGAGGGCUAAAAAGAAGAGUUUGGGUUUAAAUAUAGAGAUUAAGAGAGUCAUUAAGGGAUACUUAAACAGAGAAUAGGAGAAAGAAUUAUUGUUGAGAAAUUAGAGAGCUGAAGAUCCCACUAUUUAUUUGAAGUUUCUCUUUUUGCUUCAUUGAUUUCAUUUCUCUUGAUUCAAAUAUAUUAAGACCGAUCUUAAGUAAUUCUAGUGUAUCUUUGAGUUCAUUUGGCCUGUGUUGAUAUUGCUGUGGGAUAAGGUCCAUUUUUGUCGGUAUUUUCUUGUUUGAUUUGCUGGGUUUCUGGUCUAUUGCUGUUGGCAUUUCUAGGAUUCUAUUGAUUUUUGAUCUGUUACUGUUCUGCUGCUUACUGUUGGUUGCUGCUGUGUAUGCUACUGCUAUUCUGCUUAUCAUUCCUCUUCUACUUUUAUUUCUAAUAUCAGGUACAUAACUGGUACACAUUAUUAUAAGCCGAAACAUGGAAGCAUGAAAUAUAAAUUAUGAAGAGUUGCAGUUGUAAACUCAACAUAGUUUCUUUCGUUUUAUGGUUAUAGUUAAGAGCAUGCUAUAUACUUUGUUGUAUAAACUUCUGCCAUUAUUUUUGUGUAAAUGGACAAUUCUGUGAAAUGUUGUCCAACAAUAUUUUAUCUUAGUUUGAUCAUUAAGUAGUAAUAUUAGUUUGAUCAUUAAGUAGUAAUAUGUCCAAAUGCAUGUCUGGCCCGUUAGACUGUUCUUAAAUGCCAUACAAGUUAAGUUGCCUCAUUUAAAUAGUAUCAUGUUUUAAAACUUGUAGUAUAUUGCUUAAUUAGAUAUCAUUACUUUACAUUUCUGCCUCUUAAAGUUCUGACCAUGUAUAGGAUAAUUUAGCUGGGCUCAACAUUAGAAUAAAAUGGCCCAGAUCCCAUUUAAUACUAUAUGUGCUGGACCUGGGCCCACGUUAGCAAACGAACUGCGUUUACUUUCUAAUUUAGCAAAUCGCGUCCGGAACCUCGCUAUAACAAGUUUGAAGCAUGUAAUUAAAUUAGGACCUUUCAUUAUAGAGACGGACGAAAAGUAGAAAAAUAUAAGUCAAACCUUUCCCAAGUGGCGACUCCAAAUAAAUAAAUAAUCCCGAUCCGAAUAUUUUCACUUAAAUUUAAAAACUCCCUUGUGCAUCUAUCCCUCGAGGUAGGCGCGCAAAAGGGAUGUGUGACAGCUCUGGCGACUCCGCUGGGGAACAAGAACCCAGAACGUUUUGUUCAGGAUUCAGAAUUCGAGCUUAGAUAAAUUUAUUGUAUUUGGUUAUAUGUGAUAUUCCUAUAUAUUUCAUGCUUAAUGUGGUAAAUGUUUACCGCUUUCAUAUUAUGGAAAUGUAUCUAAACUGUGUCGAGACCCAUUUUCUCUCUGAGUAUUCUAAAUCAUGAAGAAGGGUGGAUUUCGUGUGACUUCUUAUCUAUUUAGAGUCGGUCCCAUUUUUAGAAUGAGGUUCGGAUAAGUUGUAAAGCCGGGUUGAGCUUCUAUAUCCUCGGCACGCUGCCCCCCGGCUCGAGCUGUUCGCUCGGGUAAGCCAGGUCUAGAACAAUAAGCCCAGGUUUUUACCAAGAAUGACGUGAUUUCAUGACGAAUCCCUAGUAGGAACGCUUAUUUUCAUCAUGUUGUAUUUGACUUAGGAGACUCAACACAGGGGUUGGGUAUGUCUAGGACAGGUGUAUCUGAAAUGAAAAGAUCAUCUUGUUUCAUCUUACGUGCUACUUGCGUAUCUGUCUGUUUCGGCUUGUAUCUUGUCUGGCUUCUAGAAUAUGGAAAGA